GAUGAACGCUGGCGGCGUGCCUAAUACAUGCAAGUCGAGCGAACAGACGAGGAGCUUGCUCCUCUGACGUUAGCGGCGGACGGGUGAGUAACACGUGGGUAACCUACCUAUAAGACUGGGAUAACUUCGGGAAACCGGAGCUAAUACCGGAUAAUAUAUUGAACCGCAUGGUUCAAUAGUGAAAGACGGUUUUGCUGUCACUUAUAGAUGGAUCCGCGCCGCAUUAGCUAGUUGGUAAGGUAACGGCUUACCAAGGCAACGAUGCGUAGCCGACCUGAGAGGGUGAUCGGCCACACUGGAACUGGGACACGGUCCAGACUCCUACGGGAGGCAGCAGUAGGGAAUCUUCCGCAAUGGGCGAAAGCCUGACGGAGCAACGCCGCGUGAGUGAUGAAGGUCUUCGGAUCGUAAAACUCUGUUAUUAGGGAAGAACAAAUGUGUAAGUAACUAUGCACGUCUUGACGGUACCUAAUCAGAAAGCCACGGCUAACUACGUG
rnacentral:rRNA from 1 species